rnacentral:lncRNA from 1 species
CUUCUUCUUCGUCUCCCCACCCCUCCCCCUCCUCUCUCUCCUUUUUCCUUCUAUAGCGAUUAAUUCGUAUUUGUGAAUCCUUUACUGGUCUUUAUCCUCCUCUGAGGAUAUCUUUAAUUAUUACUUGUGCAAUAUUUAUUUUAAUUGGGUUUUCUUGUUAGGCUCUUCUCCUUCGUAGGUGUGUGUAUGAAUUGGUUAAGAUGAGCUUCUUUUUUCUUUUUUUUUUGGGUCAAUUUUAUAUGUAAAUUAAUUGGGUGAUUGGGUUUUGAGGGCAAUUUUAAAAAUCUUAGGUUUUUUUAGUCUGGAGUAUGGAUGUGAGUUGGCUUUAUAUGUUCUAGAGUUACAUAUCAUGAAUCAAACUGUAUUUUCGGGUUAUGUAGCUUAACAUCUGUUAAAAUGAUUAUAGGGUUGUAUACAUGGAAUACAACAUAAUAUGAUGUGCAAGAUCUCUAUUUCUUUCUCCUUCUUCUACUAACUUGAAACAUUGUGGUAUUAUUUUGCAAUAAAUUGUUUGACAGCAAGGUUAUUGCACUUGGAAAUUGAAAGGGGAUGAUCUCAAUCUCAUCCAAGAAGUACAGAAGCAAGGACGUAAUCUUAGUGAAAUUGGAGCACUGGCACAGCCUAAUUGAUGCAGACAGAGUUUUCUAUAGGGAUCAAUGAGCUCAAUGGCUAGUUAUUUGAUUUGUCUUGUGUCAUUGGUUCAGCUUUUCAAUUUUCAUGCAUUGUCAUGGUUGUAAACUUCCAUUCGAUAAAUGAAUUGAAUUUUCCAUGUUAAGUUCCUCAUUCU